ensembl:lncRNA
AACAAUAAAAUAGUAAUAAAACAUUUACUAAGAACAAAAGGACAGAAGCAGACUUCUUAGACCUUUGUUUUAAGUGACUAGAAUUGAUUUUUAGCAUAUUUAUGAUUAUUUCCUAGAUAGAAAUAUUUAAAGUGAAUUCUGGAGCUCAAAUAAUGACAAUUUCAAACCAUUUUAUCACAAUUAGCUUAUCUAUAAUUUUUGAAAAAUCAGCCAUCUGUAAAGGUAUAAUAGACAUUGUUUAUAGUGAUCAAAUUAGCUCAGAUUGACCCUAAAUAGAAAUAACUAUAUCUCUAAUUUCAUAAAUUUGAAAUAUAAGGAUGAGCCUUUAAACAUUUCCAUUUUAGGAUUUUUUAUUUUGUUUUAAAUAGUACUUAGUAGUCCGCAACAAUUAAAGCCUUUGCACUAAUUUUACAUACAGGGCUGGGAGUGUAGCUCAGUAGUAGAGCACUUAACUUGCCUACCACAUAAGAGGACCUGAGUUCAAUUUUUUAAAAUUUAGAAUUGAUUUUUUUUUGGUGCCAUGGAUUGAACUCAGGACCUUGUGCUUAUGAGGCAGGUGGCGGCACCACUGAGCUAAAUCCCCAGCCCUAGAAGUGAUUCUUAAAUGUUAGGAAAAUCCUUGUUUUUUUUUUGUACUGGGGAUCAAACUCAGGACCUUACGCUUGCAAAACAGGCACCAGAACCACUGAGCUAAAUCCCCGGCCUGGAAAAUUCAUUUUUAAAGUAAAUGUUACUAUAUGGUUAAGCUUCAAAAGUUUUGAAUUGAAGUAGAAUUUGGUUUUGUGAUAAUCAGUUUUAUAAAAUUAAAUGACAUAGCUCAUUGCAGUGAUAUAUCAAUAGAGAUUUGAAGUCUUGUAGAACUGAUUAAAUAAAGUUGGCCACACAUAUGAGCCAAGCGUGCUCUAGCAUUUGAGAGGCUGAGGAAGGAGGAUCACGAGUUACAGGCCAGCCUGGGUUACACAGAGAGUUCAAGGCCAAUCUGAGCUACAUAGUGAGACCCAGUCUCCAAAACAAAACAGCUAGGCAUGGUGGUGCACACCUGGCCUGUAAACCUGACUUUCUGGGAGGAUGAGGCAGGAGUCUCAAAAUUUCAAGUCUCACCUGGGUAACUUAGCAAAACCUAUUUCGAAAUAAAAGGGCAAGGGAUGUAGCUCAAUGCUAAGGCCUUGGGUUCAAUUCCUCAUAUUAAAAUAAACAUGAUGUCAAGUGCUGUGGGAAGGUGACAUGAUAUACUUUAUAACAAUCUAGGGUUGGGGAUUUAGCUCAGCGGUUCUGCCGCCUGCCUCACAAGCACAAGGUCCCGAGUUCGAUCCCUGGUACCAAAAAAAAAAAAAAAUCUAAGUGAUCUUAAAGCAGCCAAUAAAUUUCAGAGGAUAAUACUUUUUGAAUCAAAGUUUAAACAUUUCUUUUUGCUUUUCAUCAAGGUCUGGUUUAAAGUAGGAUUUUAAAAUAAUUCUCAGUAUAUGAUUUUCUUGUGAUAAACAAAAAUUAAUGCAGAUCAAAGACCAGUACCCUUAACCAAAAUAAGCAAACAAAAAACUUUAGCAAUUUUAUUAUCACAUAUCUAAUUUAAAAUGCACUGAAAUUAAUACUAUUCCAUAUACUCGUUUACUAACAAAACAACUUUGGGUUUCUAAUGCUGCCAAAUGCCUUUAUAAACAUGGGGUGAGGGGGUAAAUUCAUAGGUAUUUAUUUGAAACAAAGGAGCAUUUGGAAUUUUAAGAAUGUCAGAAACCAACUGCUUCCUAGAAGGAAAUGUAAAUGGAAGUGGCCAGCCUUCAUAGGUCUUAAUGGCUCUUUCAUAUUCUGCAUACUGUUAAAUAUAUUCUCAAAAUAUAUUAAAAGACACAGUUUGCAAAUUAAAGAAAUAAAACUAAUAAUUGAACGUAAACAUUUGAUUCAGUUUGUCAGUCAAAAGCCACAACAACAAAAAUCUAGAUAGUAUGGUCUUUGCUUUGGAUAUAAUUUACUCUUAUACCCCAUGUCAGUGUGAUCAUUAAGGAAAUGUAUUAAUAACUUAAAAUUACCUAUCCCGUAAGAUCAGUAAAAUUCAACAUGUCUAAUUGCAUUAUAGUAUAUGAAUCACAGAUGGUUCUUAUUUAUUCUUGUAUCUAAUUCUAGACCAGUGGUGGUGAACCAAUGGCACUCAUGUUACUGUGUUUUUAAGACAAAAGAUGUUAAUGUAGAGUUGUUUUUUCUAAACUAAAACCUCAGUAUUCAGGUUUAAUUCCAGUGUCAGGAAUUUGUGAUAAAUAAGUGGGUUUUGGGUUGCUGUUUGGCACUCAGUCUCUAAAAGGUUCGCCAUCACUGUUCUAGACUCACUGUGUUUUUGUCAAGUAUAUUAUGCUUUGUUUUGGAAAAUCCUUUAGAUCUUUUCUUUCAUGAUAUUUAUAUCCUGCCACUUAAUUUUAUUACCUUUGUUUCCUUUUUAACACUGUUACUGUUAAGAAUUUUUAGCUCUUAAUUCACAUUUGAUAAAUUUAUGUAUGUAAUGUCUCCAAAAUUCAAUAGUGGCACAGAGUAGAUUCUUCAUAUUCUGACCUUAGAAUUUAAAAAGGUUUUAAAUAGUUCUGGGAUACUUAUUUGUGAACCAAAAAAGUCAGUUUUGUGAAUGUUGCCAUCAAAUAACCAACAUCCCUCUUUUUUAACUCAGAUAAACAGUAUGAGAAAAUAACAAAUGUCAGAAAUGCAAAAUUGUUAAGAUUAGACACUAUCAAUUUGCUAAUCUCUGAUUAUAUGUAUACAUGUAUUGUCAUCAUCCCUGUUUUUAGCUCCCUAAAUUUUUGUGUUGCUGAGAACUUUAGUUAAAAUACUCUUAAAGUCAUAUGAACUCACUUAGAAGUAAAAGUUAGAAAUGGAAAUCUAAGUAAAGAAAGUUUUAAAAGUGGUACAUUUUCCCCAUUAAGUCAACUUUUAUGGCUUAAUCUUGGAAGGAGACUCACAUUAAAAGUGGUUAUCUUUUAUAUUUGGUGGGAAGAAGCCAUUGUUAUUUACUACUACUAUAUAUAGAAGCAAUUGUUUGAUGAAAUUACUGUUUAGUAUUCAUAGAAUGUAUCGUAUGCAGGCCAUUUUUUCUUUUCUCCAACCACUGUUAAAAUAGUUUAUGUACUUAGUAACUCCAGUCAUGACUGUAAAUUAACUUUUAACAGUUUAGUUCCUGUUAGCUACUUACUCCUUUUUUUCUUCUUUUUGAGAGAACUCUAUAUUUGAUUUCAGUUUGUUUUCAGAGAAAUAAGAAAAUGGUAAUCAAAUGUGAUGUGUCUAUAAAAAUAAGAGUUUUACAUGUGAUCUAUCAUACUUUCAAUGAACAGACUUGAGAACAGUUUGUGAUGUUAAAGGUGGUAAUGUUCUAAUAUAGUUUUUGGCAUACAAUUAUGGCUCACAAAUAUAUCUAGAAGAAUGUUGACAUAUGGCAGUAUCAAAGUAUAUAAAACAUUUCCAAUGUAUGUAAGUUGUAUCUUCACACUAAUGAACAAAUAGCAGUUGAUAAGUGCAAUUUCACUUCUGGAUGGCAGUGCACAUUGUCAAGAAGUCAUGUAAUUAUAAUAAAUACAUAUAUCUACAAG